rnacentral:rRNA from 1 species
CCUACGGGAGGCAGCAGUGAGGAAUAUUGGUCAAUGGGAGAGAUCCUGAACCAGCCAAGCCGCGUGAGGGAAGACGGCCCUAUGGGUUGUAAACCUCUUUUGUCGGAGAACAAAACCCGGGACGUGUCCCGGACUGCGUGUAUCCGAAGAAAAAGCAUCGGCGAACUCCGUGCCAGCAGCCGCGGUAAUACGGAGGAUGCGAGCGUUAUCCGGAUUUAUUGGGUUUAAAGGGUGCGUAGGCGGUCCUUUAAGUCAGCGGUAAAAUUUCUGGGCUCAACCCUGUCGAGGCGGUGAAACUGGGAGAUGUUAGUUGGCGAGAAGGACGCGGGAGGCGCGGUGGAGCGGGGGAAUGCA